rnacentral:rRNA from 1 species
CGGUAAUUCCAGCUCCAAUAGCGUAUACUAAAGUUGUUGCAGUUAAAAAGCUCGUAGUUGGAUUUCUGCGGGGACGGAGCGGCCGGUCGCAAUUUGCGACUCGAGCUAGCGCUUUCCCCGCAUCCUGCCGCGAACCGUGCUACCAUUAGUUUGGUGGCGCUGGGGAUCGGCUCGAUUACUUUGAGAAAAAUAGAGUGUUCAAAGCAGGCCACACGCCUUGAAUAAGUUAGCAUGGAAUAAUGACUAAGGACUUUGGUUCUUUUCGUUGGUGUUCGGGACUGAAGUAAUGAUUGAUAGGGACAGUUGGGGCGGUCCGUAUUCCAAAGCGAGAGGUGAAAUUCUUAGACCUUCGGAAGACGAACAGCUGCGAAAGCGUUCCGCAAGGAUGUUCCCUUUGAUCAAGAACGAAAGUUGGGGGAUCGAAGACGAUCAGAUACCGUCGUAGUCUCAACUAUAAACUAUACCAGCUAGGGAUCGGCCAACGUUUAAUUUAUCGACUUGGUCGGCACCUUAUGAGAAAUCAAAGCAUCUGGGUUCCGGGGGGAGUAUGGUCGCAAGGCUGAAACUUAAAGGAAUUGACGGAAGGGCACCACCAGCCGUGGAGCCUGUGGCUUAAUUUGACUCAACACGGGAAAACUUACCAAGUCCAGACAUAGGAAGGAUUGACAGAUUGAUAGCUCUUUCUUGAUUCUGUGGGUGGUGGUGCAUGGCCGUUUUUAGUCGGUGGAUGUGAUCUGUCCGCUUAAUUGCGUUAACGGACGAGACCCCAGCCUGCUAAAUAGCGCGGCCGAGCUUUGCUCGGUGCGAGCUUCUUAGAGGGACCAUGAUGCGCGAUAGCACAAGGAAGUUUGGGGCAACAACAGGUCUGUGAUGCCCUUAGAUGUUCUGGGCCGCACACGGGCUACACUGGCGCCUGCAACGAGCAUAUCAGCUGGCCCGAGAGGGUCUUGGCUAAUCUUUGGAACCGGCGCCGUGCUUGGGAUUGACCAUUGCAAUUGUUGGUCAUGCAACGAGGAAUGCCUUGUAAACGCGAGUCAUCAGCUCGCAUUGAAUACGUCCCUGCCCUUUGUACACACCGCCCGUCGCUCCUACCGAUGAAUGUUCCGAUGAAAUUUUCGGAGAGCACCAGAGAACGGGGCUCCGCCUUGCAGAUCUGGAGGCUCAAAGUCACUUAAAUCCGAACAUUUCGAGGAAGGAGAAGUCGUAACAAGGUAGCCG